rnacentral:lncRNA from 1 species
CCAUUAAUCCCGCUGAAAUUUACUGCCACUUGGACAGAGGAGGUGCACAUGCCCAACAUCAGGAAAGCAGCAUUAUGAAAAGGAAGAAAGAAAGGCAAGUGAUCCCAUUUUGCAGGUCUCCUGACACCUACAGGACACCAAAGCCAGGCCCUUAAACAGACGGCGGCGAGGCAGGAUAGUGACCUUCCACGUUUGUCUGACUGAUUCUUGGCAACUUCAUCCUCUGCCUCCCCAAUAAUCUCUUGUUUGACUCCAGCCACCUGUUUCCCACUUCCCCAGAGUACACAGCUGUAGCCAACUAGAAACAGAUGAAAGUGUGACCUGUGACCUGUAUUGAAGUUUUGCCUGAAGACACCAACCCCUGACAAUCCUAUUACGAAGAGCACAG